rnacentral:rRNA from 1 species
AUACGGAGGGUGCAAGCGUUACUCGGAAUCACUGGGCGUAAAGCGCGCGCAGGCGGCUUGGUAAGUUGGAUGUGAAAGCCUACGGCUCAACCGUAGAACUGCAUCCAAAACUGUCAAGCUAGAGUGUGGGAGAGGAAGAUGGAAUUAGUUGUGUAGGGGUAAAAUCCGUCGAGAUAACUAGGAAUACCAAAAGCGAAGGCAAUCUUCUGGAACACUACUGACGCUGAGGCGCGAAAGCGUGGGGAGCAAACAGGAUUAGAAACCCUAGUAGUCC